rnacentral:tRNA from 1 species
AGGCAACGGACUCUGAAUCCGUCAUUCCGCUGGUUCGAAUCCAGCUACCCCAG